GACGAACGCUGGCGGCGUGCCUAAUACAUGCAAGUAGAACGCUGAAGGAGGAGCUUGCUUCUCUGGAUGAGUUGCGAACGGGUGAGUAACGCGUAGGUAACCUGCCUGGUAGCGGGGGAUAACUAUUGGAAACGAUAGCUAAUACCGCAUAAGAGUAGAUGUUGCAUGACAUUUGCUUAAAAGUUGCAAUUGCAUCACUACCAGAUGGACCUGCGUUGUAUUAGCUAGUUGGUGAGGUAACGGCUCACCAAGGCAACGAUACAUAGCCGACCGGAGAGGGGGAUCGGCCACACUGGGACGGAGACACGGCCCAGACUGCUACGGGAGGCAGCAGUAGGGAAUCGUCGGCAAUGGACGGAAGUCAGACCGAGAAACGCCGCGGGAGGGAAGAAGGGUGUCGGAUCGUAAAGCUCGGUUGUAAGAGAAGAAAGAGUGUGAGAGUGGAAAGUUCACACUGUGACGGUAUCUGACCAGAAAGGGACGGCUAACUACGUG
rnacentral:rRNA from 1 species